UUGCUUCUCUUGAGAGCGGCGGACGGGUGAGUAAUGCCUAGGAAUCUGCCUGGUAGUGGGGGAUAACGUUCGGAAACGGACGCUAAUACCGCAUACGUCCUACGGGAGAAAGCAGGGGACCUUCGGGCCUUGCGCUAUCAGAUGAGCCUAGGUCGGAUUAGCUAGUUGGUGAGGUAAUGGCUCACCAAGGCGACGAUCCGUAACUGGUCUGAGAGGAUGAUCAGUCACACUGGAACUGAGACACGGUCCAGACUCCUACGGGAGGCAGCAGUGGGGAAUAUUGGACAAUGGGCGAAAGCCUGAUCCAGCCAUGCCGCGUGUGUGAAGAAGGUCUUCGGAUUGUAAAGCACUUUAAGUUGGGAGGAAGGGCAGUUACCUAAUACGUGAUUGUUUUGACGUUACCGACAGAAUAAGCACCGGCUAACUCUGUGCCAGCAGCCGCGGUAAUACAGAGGGUGCAAGCGUUAAUCGGAAUUACUGGGCGUAAAGCGCGCGUAGGUGGUUUGUU
rnacentral:rRNA from 1 species